GUUCAUAGAUAAUGAACUGAUAACUUAUAGUCAGCUGAGAAUCGAUGUUAGUUGAACUCUAAAACAAGUAUUUUUUGAAACAAAACUUUGACAACAAGAUCUGCAGACAGUUUCACAUAAUUCAGAAUGGACGAGAGAGAGAAUAGAAUUGUGAAAGCUUGUGGAAUGAUAUGCGCACUAUACGAAAUGAACGUGGCAUGUCAAUUUUUGUUGUGUGGUCGACUUGUACUUUUUCUAUUAGCAUUAUUCUUGUGUAAAAUAGGGGAAGUUGUCAUCAUUACAAUCACUUUGGCGAUUGUUUCGUCCAUAGAAACGAAAUCAGCUAAAGAAUACAUUGAACAUCACUUGUCUACAGAAGAAAAGAAAAAAUUGGUUCUCUAUGUGGAGAGACAUUUCCUCGGGAGAGACCUCAGCGAUGAAGACAAUGGGUUGAUUGUGUUUACAGAAAGAGAGCUAUUCACAAUAGUUAAAAGAAUCGAAUAUUUCUUCAAUUACGAGCUGCAUUACACUGCUCGUUUCAAACGAAUUCAAUGAAAAUCUCAACCAAAGAAAUAUGACGCUUCAUUCUAGCAGCAGCCCUGAUAAUGAAAAUGAGAGUAAAAAUAAAAUGUGCUGGUGAUGUAUUAGAGAAUGAAAUGAAGGAGACUGAUGUAUUGCUAUUGAUGGAGUAUGUCGAAGAUCAUUUUGAAACUAUGGAAGCCAAUGGCAACAAAUGGUUUUUCAUUCAAGGAAUGAUAAAUGAGUUUUUGAAAGUCGCAAUGUUGGGAGGAAUUAUGACAUUCUUUCAAGAAAAAGGAUACGGUGUUUUUUUCGAUGAGGGUAGUCAGCAUCCGGAUGGUAUCCGCAGAUGAAAGGAAGGGAAAAUUAUGAACCUUUGAAUCAACAGUUCCAAGACUUGAAAAUAUUGUAUUUGAAAUUAUAUUCAAAAUAUUAUUCAAUUCAGUUUGGGAACAUAUUGGGCAAGAAAUAUAUUCAAUAUAUUUCUAUUCACAAAUUAGUUCUCUGUAAGUUUGUACCACGUAUACCGUAAGAAAUUCCGAGUACAUUCUGUAAUAGAAUGAUGAGUGUUUUCUGGUAUCCACUAUUGACUUUCAUCAAGAGCAUGCUGCUCAAGCUGGACAUGCUUUGAUUUUGUUCGUACCUACAUGUUUUAUAUUUAUUUUUGUGAUGUCUCUCAAUUUUAAGACACUGUGUCCUCUUUGACACAUAUUAAUUUUUAUCUAUUCUAUUUUGUAAAUUAGCAUGUAAUAAACAUAUAAAGUAACAA